GCGGUCUUAGCUCAGCUGGGAGAGCGUCAGACUGAAGUACCUCCAAACUUCAAUCUCCAAUUAUUUAUCUGAAGGUCGUGUGUUCAAGCCACACAGAUCGCA
rnacentral:tRNA from 1 species